CGCAGCCGCGGUAAUUCCAGCUCCAAUAGCGUAUAUUAAAGUUGUUGCAGUUAAAAAGCUCGUAGUUGAAUUUCGGGAUCAAUUUAUCGGUCGUGCCAAUGGUAUGAACUGGUACAAUUGGUUUCUUCCUUCUGAUAAAGCGUGAUGCCAUUAACUUGGUGUCGCCGGGGAAUCAGAACUGUUACUUUGAAAAAAUUAGAGUGUUUAAAGCAGGCUUAGGCUUGAAUACAUUAGCAUGGAAUAAUGAAAUAGGACGUUUGAUCCUAUUUUGUUGGUUUCUAGGAUCGACGUAAUGAUUAAUAGGGAUAGUUGGGGGCAUUAGUAUUCAAUUGUCAGAGGUGAAAUUCUUGGAUUUAUUGAAGACUAACUACUGCGAAAGCAUUUGCCAAGGACGUUUUCAUUAAUCAAGAACGAAAGUUAGGGAUCGAAGACGAUCAGAUACCGUCGUAGUCUUAACCAUAACUAUGCCGACUAGGGAUCGGAUGAUUGUUAAUUUUUUAAUGUACUCAUUCGGCGCCUU
rnacentral:rRNA from 1 species